CUCUUUCUCUCUACCUCCCUCUCUUUCUCUCUAUCUCUCUACCUCCCUCUCUUUCUCUCUACCUCCCUCUCUUUCUCUCUUUCUCUCUACCUCCCUCUCUUUCUCUCUACCUCCCUCUCUUUCUCUCUACCUCUCUUUCUCUCUACCUCUCUCUCUUUCUCUCUACCUCUCUCUCUUUCUCUCUUUCUCUCUCUUUCUCUCUCUCUCUCUAUCUAUCUUCCCCUCUCUCUCCUCUGUUUGUUCACUCUCCUUUCUUUCCCCUCUUCAAAAACACAGCACUCCUUUCAUGAAAAUGCGUGCAGCACAGUCUUGUCAGUAACUGAGUCUGGAAAUAUGAACACGGUUUGUUUUUUGUUGCCACAGAACUAACGUUACUAGAAAAUGUGUAUGUCUGUGAAAGGUUGGUUUUGUGGAAAUAGCUAGAAAGAGGAACGUUGUUGUUGUUGUUGUCAAGCACUGCUGUAUUCCUCUGUUUAGAGUCAUGUGAUAUGAUGGGAUGGUGUGAAUACAUCACUAAGUAAAUAACACUAUUCAUAUGUAACUGUAAAUAACACUAUUCAUAUGUAACUGUAAAUAACACUAUUCAUAUGUAACUUUAAUAUGACUAAGAAGGUUAUAUCGGGGCCUGUGUCAAACCACAACUGAUACAUUGUAGCUGCACACAGUUUAGGAAAUUCUCUCUCUGACACACAACACGGUACAUUGUCACUAAUUCUCACUGUCUGUCUGUGUGUCUUUGCUACCAGUGUCCUGUAUAAUAGAUUGCCUAUUGGUCGAGGGUAAAAUCACUGUGGAGUUGACAUCUCCAGCAUCUUCUCUGUUGUUAUGAUCUGCUGAACAGGGACAGGCCUGUGUGACACAUUUUUUCCAGACAUCUCUGUCCUUUUCCGUCAACACGGAUGGACUCUAUUCAGAGAAAGUACAUAGUUUGUUUUAUCAUUCACUUGAACAUGAAGGUCACAUGAACAGACUUUUCUGGGGGCAUUUUGGGGAAAGAGAUGACACAAGAGUUACUGAGUUAAUCAGCAGAUAUUGAUUUUGUUGUACACCUAACAUGUACUGUUAUUCUUCAUAAUAUACUCCAUCUGUCACUGGGUGAUUGAUUGACC
ensembl:lncRNA